rnacentral:sRNA from 1 species
AGGGCAACCAAUGGGAAUUGGUUCUCUCUUUCCACCAUGUUUGGUCUGGGGAGACAACUCAGGACAUCAGGUUUGGUGGCAGGAGCCUUUAUCAAGCCAAUUCUACAACACUCAUCACUGACUUUUCAAAUAAGCCUGACAAGAAAAAAAAUAGUCCUUUCAAUAUACAGUGCCAAUAAAACUGGAGAGCUACAUGUAGAAGAGGGACCCCUCAGCCCCUCCUCACGUUAUCUGCAGACAGUGCUUUGGAUGGAUCAACAAGCUCUACACUAGAGUUGAUGCUUCAAACUCUUGGAGAAAACCAUAGUAAGUAAACAAUGAGAGCAUGGGGAAGGAAAACCUUUUUAGAUAUGACAGCAAAUUCAAAGGAACAGAGAAAGGGGGGAAGGGAGAGGGAGAAGGAGAGAGGGAGGAGAGAGAGAAAGGAAAUAGAGAGGGAAACUGGACUUCUAUAACGAAAGCAGUUUGUACUUUGAGGGACAUCAUCAAGAAAACAUAAAGCAAUAGGAGAAAAUACUUGCAAAUCAUAUAUCUGAGAAGGAAACAAGUGUCCACAAUAUGUAAAUCCAUUUACAGUUCAAUAAUAGUAAGAUAAACCCAGUGAACACUCAUCGAGCAAAAGACCCGAGUAGACAUCUCUAAGAAAUGCCUGAAAAUAACCAGAACAUUUGUGGAAAGAGGUUCAACCCAAAUAGUCGUUAGGGGAGUGCAAAUCAAAAGAUGUCAAGAACUCACAUUGGCUAAGAUGACCAAAACAACAACAAGCAAAAACCAAAACAAACCCCCAAACCAGAAAACAGCACGUGCUGGCAUGGCUCUCAGUAGGAUACCCACACGCUGGCAGGACCGGAUGGUGGUGUGCCCACUUCGGAAAACAGUCUGGCCGUCUCUCCAGAGGUUAACCAUCACGAGACCCUAUGACCCACUGAUGGCAUUCCUGGGUUUAUAGCCAAAAGAGCCUAAGGUUGUAGGCUAACCCACACUUGCACAAGUGUUCCCAGCCACACUAUUUAUCAGAGCCAGCUUUUGAAACAACCCCCGUGUCUAUCAGUUAAGGAAUGUAUAAACAAAAUAGAGUUUAUCUACACAGUGGAAUGCAGUCGGCCACAGAAAGGAAUGAAGUCCUGAUGUUUGCUACAGCACGGGUAAGUUCUGGAAAUGUUAUGGCUCGUACGAAGCCCAACACACGCGCAAACCCACAUGUGGUAUGAUUUCAUUUAUGUGAAUUUCCCAGAGUCAGCAAACCCAUAGAAACAGAAAGAAAUUAGGAUUUCCUUGGGACUUCAGUAGAGGGAAUCUGAGAAAGUAAUUGAUACUUGAUAUGGGAUUUUAUUUGGGGAGGAUGAUAAAAUAUUGUAAAAUUAUGGUGAUGGCUGUAAAUUGAAAACUCAUUUGAGGGGACAGAGGGAGAAAUCAGAAAGCUACAGAUAUAACGUAGCAAAAUGUUUGAAUUUUUCACACCAUUUAAAGAUCAUUUUUAUUUUAUGAGUGCUUUGCUUGGUGUGCACCGUGUCUGUGCAGUGCCCACAGAGGCCAGAAGAGGGCACCGGAUACUCUGGAACUGGAGUUAGGAAGCGUUUUAAGUGGCCAUGGGGAUGCUCAGAACUGAACCCUGCUCCUCUGGAAGAGGAGCCAGCUGAGUGGUCCGCCUUCGUGUAUGCAAUUAGUGUAAAACAUACACCCGAUUUCCAAGGGACGGUUUGAAUGACACACACAUAGAUCUCAAAUGUUUAUAUAGUUACCGUUCAUAAAAGUUGGGGAUAUACUGUCUUAAAGACGGUGUAUUAUCAAAAGAAAUCCAUUUGGCUACCCCUUGGGGUUCAGGCCCAUCUCUCUAAGUCCCAUAUUUAAAAAAAAAUUUUUUUUUAAGUUGCAGGAGGCUAAACAAAAUAGUUGGACACCAAAAUCUAAUUUUAAAUGAAAUGUGGAAUAAAAUACUGGCUACCAUUUACUGCACCGGGGAGGGCCUUGGGAAAUACUCUGUAAAUCAGCUGAGGGGUCCUCAGGAGCAGAACGCCUUUCAGGGAUAACAUUUUCUUUUGGAGGUGGAGGAUAAGGACACAGAGCUAUGAAGCCCAGAUUGACCUCAAAGGUACCAUCCUCCUGACUCGGCCUCCCAAAUGCUGGGGUAACAACGGAUGUGUGCCACCACAGCAAGCUAGCCCUGCCUUCUACCCAGGCAGUCACAAACACACCAGCUCGGAAAAUAUUCCACUUCUUGGAAUGGAGAGAAAUCAUAGCCAGACAGCCAUCAAGACAGAGGGACAUGUCCAAGCCCCCUGCCUUUCACAAGGGCAUCUAUAAGGAACCAGUCAGACUGUGUAUAAGGAAGCUUUUAAAACCCUUGCGAUGAGAGCACUGGCAUCUAAAAUACUCAGACUUCAACCUUGCUUCUGCUUUCUUGCUAUGACCAAACAAGAGGUUUAAUUUCCUGAGCCCCAAAGGGCAGCCAAACAGACUUCUUUCUUUUGAUAAUAAGUCGCCUUUAAACCCAUAUAUCCCCCAAUUUUUAUGAGCAUGUAACCAUAGAGACAUUCGAGUCCCACGUGUGCCAUUCAAAGCAUCCCUUGGAGAGCUGAUGUUUAGCUUAAACUUACUGCACGCUGAAGGUGGACCGCUCAAGUGCUUGAUAGCUUAGUGGCUCCCGAACUGGACAGCCCAGAUAAGGGUACAGGCAUGUGCUACGUAACCCUGAAGGGGGAGAUAGGGUGAUUCAGGAAAAAGAAGAGCACACAAGAAGCUCUUCUCAUGUCAUCUCUGUGGCAACCAAGAUAACGGUUAUCUUGCCUUCCUAGAAGGUGGGGAAGGGAGAGGGCUGUCGGGGAUUUUGUCCUUGUUGAGGUUCCUCCUCCUUUCAUUCCUGGUCUCCGAGUAACCAGAGUGCAGAAGACAGAGCUGAAGACAAAGGAAGCCCUUACAGCACAAGAGAACAGGGCUCCAGAAGAGUACCCCCAUGCCUCCAAGGACUGCAGAACUCCAUCCUAACCUAUGUGGACCGCAAGGGGAGAGGAGAGGGCAGAGGGAGAAGGUGGGGGAGGAGGCAGAGACCCCUCUUUGUUUUAAAUUCAUGCUUCCAGGAAUACUUUUUCUAUCCUUAUUUGAUGUUAAAUAAAAGGCAUAAAGAUGCUUACGGACUGCCCUCUUCCAAGUUCAGCUGCCCCGAAAAGGGGGAAAUACCAGAAAUAGCCAGAACUGAGGUUCAAGAAGAUGUAUUAAUGUCGGUCACAGGAAAGACUUCAUUGACAAAUCUGUUGCAGUUGGCUGCCCUGACUUAGGUCUCACUACGGAAAAUGGGGAUGGGUAAAGAGACACCCCUAUCCCUACCACCCCUGGCUAUUCCCCCACCCCCCAGAAGCCAUUCCCUUCUCCAAUAACAAAACAGCUCAUUUUCACUAUGAACUACAUUUCCCACAUGCCCUUGCAGUAAACAAGAACGAGCACUGGUCUAAGUUCAUGUGGCAAGGGUGACAUGGGAAUAUCCUAUGGGGCAACUCUUCACCUCCACUUUUCCUGUUAUGAAUUGUGGGGCACCAUGACAGGAUCGUGACCACAAGUGCUAUGGUGCUGCUCUCCAUAUUCUUACUAAGGGACAGCAAUGUAUGAGAGAAAGUGGGUUUGGGUCUGCAUCAUGGGAACUGAAAUUGUAUCACUGAAUUUUGUCUCCUGAAGAGAAAAGGGGACACUCUUGAAAUAGAUGCCACCACCAUCUGGCUUUCAGCCUACAGCUAGAAUCUAACUCUUGUUGCCUUCCUUUCCUAACUGCUUAGCUGCAAAGACUGUUUCAUCCUCAUGGACUUCCUCAUUCCCCCCAACUCUCUCUACUCCCUCCUACUUCAGGGCUAUACCCAUGAAAGCAGUACUCCUUGACCAGACCCAUUCUGGCAUUAAGAAUAAAGGUUCAUGUUAAAAACAAAGCCCUUUGAUGUCUCUUUGGCCUGCCCAGUUAAAAUGACCAAGAGAGUAAGAGCUUAUCUUAGAAUCCAAACCUUCAGAGCCCAGACUGGGUUUUUGUAUAAACGCCACCUUUUGCCCAUCUCUGAGGUUAUAGCAAACACAGAAGGGAACCGAGAUCAAGUGGAUGCAGAAGAUGAGCCAUUACAAUGGGACUCCAUUGGAUGCCUUUGUCCGAGCCACUGGAUUUCGUCAGCAGAGAAUUGCAAACACAAGCCCUUUGUGUAAGGUAGCUGGUGAUGCCAGGGGUUGACUCUAGCUAGAUCUUACCACUCCUCUCCCCAAGCUCAUCCAACUGACUUUUGGAGAUUGUCCAACCCAUGAGUUGCAGCUCAUAGAAUUUCUCCUCUUGGACCAGUUCCCAAAGGAUAGGAAUGCUUGGCUCGGCUCCCCCCAAAAAUCUCUGAAGCUGCCAAAGGUAUGUGAGAAACAGUCCCUUCCCCCACUGAACACGACAGAAGAGAGUGGCCUGCAGCCCUGUCAAGUGGCAUCUGUCCUCCACGUGGAGAGCACCGUAUGAAGUGACAGGCUCUCUCCUCAGCUCCAGAAAUAGCUGUCUGAUCAGGAACAUUACCACAAGCAACCUUGGGCCAGGCUGAGGCGGGCAGAGGUCAAUGUCCCUUCCAGCUGAGGGUGGGACCCAGUUCCAAUUGUUUUCUUUUGACUAAUUAAAUUUGCUGCACAAUAUAACAAGUGCUUUAGCUUGGGUAGGGAGGCCAAAGGCUUCUCUGGUUCUUCCCUGUGAAUGUCAAGUGUAAAUUAAAACCGACAUUAAUUGAGAGCAGAAAGCACCUUUUGUUUUUGUUUGUUUGUUUGUGGUUUGUUUUUUCUGCCCAAUGCUUCUUGCCUCUAAAUAUUUGUGUUGGCCUAUAAGGACCUGCCUCGGUGGCCUGACAGAGAGAAGAACCACCCUGGAAAGGAGCUAGAAGAACCCCCAAAGGAAAGUAGGCUAGUGGGUCGAGAUAAGAUCCAACCAGAAGCAAACAAAAGGCCUAAUACUCACAGGAGCUAAUCUGAUGCCCGGCAAAGCCCUCAGGCCUCCAUCCUCAGAGACUUCGAGGCUGACUGUUCUCAGGACUCUACCCUGUAAAGGAAACCUCAGGCAACUCUGUGUGUUGCUCCUAAAUUUAUUUAUCUUGGAACCUUGUUUGUUUGUAAAAAAAAAUGACAUGUUUGGGGUUUUUUUCUCUUUUAAUUAAGCAAUGCAAGCAAAUUUGAAGGAGAAAAUUUAUAGUCCCCAGAUCCCACCACCGAAUCAAGGACCCCGUGUUAGGUUUUUUAAAACUGUGAUUCCAGUUAAUUCUUCCUCUGUGACCCCUAGGAAUAGGAGAGAUUUACAGGCAGAAGCAAUUUUAAAGGGAAUAUAUUUUUUUUCUCUUUAAUAAAAAUGAGUCUGUUAUUGGAACUUGGGAAAGCAAGAGACUAGCAGAAGAAUCUGUAGGAUUUCUGAAACCAUGUAAAAGUAGACAUGUCCAACCAGUGGAUCCCAGGAGAGCUGUGAAUGUGCCCCGACACACAUAUCACAGUGUUAAAAGGUUGGAUAACAUGUCAUGUCCUCCCAACUCUCCCUCUCCAAAAGCCUACCCUGAGACUUUUAGCUUUUUCUGAACUGGCAGGAUUUGGAAAGUGGCGUGGCAGGGUAAAGUUCACUGCCAGCUGAGGUCAUUAGACAGGCUGGUAACGGGAGAAACGAAGACCCCAAGCCCCAGUGACUUGAAAAUAUUUUCCUUGGCAUUUCUAGCAAGAUGCCUGAACUUCAGAUAAAUGUCGCAAGCUGUGUCGGAAUCUGCACUUUAAAUGGUGUAGCACUCUGCUCUAACGAUGCAAGGCUCACCCUUUGCGCUUGAAUGGGUUAUCUGACUUAUUCAGGAAAGGGUAUCUCUCUAAUAUUUAGGAAAUCCUUACAACAGCAAUCGCAAAGAAACAGCACCAAGCACUCCAAUCGGCUGGCAGGAAAGAAGUGGAGAAUGGCUUAUGAGGCUCCUAGAUAGACCAGGGUAGACCUGGCCGGUUUGGAUGGGAGAAGAGCAGCUAAAGAGGAAGGAGAAGGGAUUCAGGGAGAGAACCACUCCUAACACUGGCCUGAGAACAUGUCUUCCCUGACUCCUCCCCCUUCAAGGUUCCCAUGUCCAUUGGCUGUGUCAGCAAAGCAGAGACUCAAGGACACAGUGGGAAAUCUUUCAGCAUCACCAGGAACCCUGACCCAACCGCAUGGUGAAGCCUUACAUUCUUUCUGGAAGAAUCCAUGAGACUCCCAGUAGCCUGGUUGGUAUCUAUGUAGCCCAUGUCUUGUUACUGCUUCCCAGAGCAAGGGCAAACAAGAGUAGGUCCCAGACAAAGAGGCCAAUUCUAACCCUGGCAGGAUCCACCGGUGGCAACUGGGCCUGCCUCCUUUCUGUGCUGACCAAUGGACACGUGGUGGUCAUUAUCACCCUGAUGUAGUCACAUCGCCAUCAGAAAGAUUCCUUCUUCCAGGACCUCCGGCCUUACAAAGGUGUGAUCUGAGUCUACUACAGGAGCCAGGCACCGGUGUGGACGGGCAGCUCAAUACGUUCUUCUUACCAAGGGGUUUGGACUAAGCCUCUCUAUGGCUAGCACCAGUGAGAGAGUCAGAUGAAGCUUCACGUGGGAAUCUCAGGGCAUAAGCUAUACAGUGUUAUGGUUCCUUUGAACAAA